GCCAACUCUGUGCCCUCUAGUCUUUGUUGGACUAUAACUCCCAUCAAUAGCCAGUGGUCAGGGAUGAUGGGAGUUAGGAGACCAACAAAGACUAGAGGGCACAGAGUUGAC